CCUACGGGUGGCAGCAGUGGGGGAUAUUGGACAAUGGGGGAAACCCUGAUCCAGCGCCGCCGCGUGAGUGAAGAAGUAUUUCGGUAUGUAAAGCUCUAUCAGCAGGGAAGAACGAAAUGACGGUACCUGAGUAAGAAGCCCCGGCUAACUACGUGCCAGCAGCCGCGGUAAUACGUAGGGGGCAAGCGUUAUCCGGAUUUACUGGGUGUAAAGGGAGCGUAGACGGUAUGGCAAGUCUGAAGUGAAAGCCCAGGGCUUAACCCUGGGACUGCUUUGGAAACUGUUAGACUAGAGUGCUGGAGAGGGAAGUGGAAUUCCUAGUGUAGCGGUGAAAUGCGUAGAUAUUAGGAGGAACACCAGGGGCGAAGGCGACUUACUGGACUGUAACUGACACUGAGGCACGAAAGCGUGGGGAGCAAACAGGAGUAGAUACCCGGGUAGUC
rnacentral:rRNA from 1 species